CAGUAUGACAACGCAAGGCUUAAAGAUCAUCAUGGUGUUCUCGAGAUUAAAAAUGUUGAGGUUAAUGAAGCUCUGGAAGUAAUGCACGCCAAUGAUUCUUCCAAUGAUGAGGAAACAUACGACGCUUCCUAACGAUCGUGACGAGUAGUUGAUAUUUUAAAAAUUAUUUCGCCACUCUCGGCAUUACCUUCUCAAGGGCUGGUAGUUAUCAAGCACUACAAUCUUCUCAAAAGAUUUACAUUGUUCAAGAAUGGCUUCACCAAAAGAAAUCAACGAUUCCAAGAAUGAUU